AGACUAAUAAUUUGCGAGAAGUGUAUCGUCUAAUUGCAAUGUCAGACACCAAUAUCGUAAAUAUCACCUUUGAUGAUAUUUUCACUGUUGAGUUGUAUCACCAUGUUGAUGCACAAGACUCAUCACUUGAUAGCAAGAAAGAAAAUCCAUCAACCUGUCCGAGAAUCAAGGAUUCAAAUGAGCUGAAGAAUUGUUUACAAGUUUGUUCACUUUUGCAUCUGGCAUGCCAAUAUGGGAAUCCUGUGAUGGUGGAGAUGCUG